rnacentral:rRNA from 1 species
CAGUAGCCGCGGUAAUACGAACCGUGCGAACGUUAUUCGGAAUUACUGGGCUUAAAGCGCGUGUAGGCGGGUCGGCACGUCGGUCGCUGAAAUCCCCCGGCUCAACCGGGGAAGUGGCGCCGAUACGGCCGGCCUGGAGGGGGGUAGGGGGGUCUGGAACUUCCGGUGGAGCGGUGAAAUGCGUUGAGAUCGGAAGGAACGCCCGUGGCGAAAGCGAGACCCUGGACCCUUACUGACGCUGAGACGCGAAAGCCAGGGGAGCGAACGGGAUUAGAUACCCCCGUAGUCCCUGUCUCUUAUA